UACGAAGGGUGCAAGCGUUAAUCGGAAUUACUGGGCGUAAAGGGUGCGUAGGCGGUUCGUUAAGUCUGUCGUGAAAUCCCCGGGCUCAACCUGGGAAUGGCGAUGGAUACUGGCGAGCUAGAGUGUGUCAGAGGAUGGUGGAAUUCCCGGUGUAGCGGUGAAAUGCGUAGAGAUCGGGAGGAACAUCAGUGGCGAAGGCGGCCAUCUGGGACAACACUGACGCUGAAGCACGAAAUCGUGGGGAGCAAACAGG
rnacentral:rRNA from 1 species